rnacentral:rRNA from 1 species
GACGAACGCUGGCGGCGUGCUUAACACAUGCAAGUCGAACGGUAAGGCCCUUCGGGGUACACGAGUGGCGAACGGGUGAGUAACACGUGGGUGAUCUGCCCUGCACUUCGGGAUAAGCCUGGGAAACUGGGUCUAAUACCGGAUAGGACCACUGCCUGCAUGGGUGGUGGUGGAAAGCUCUUGCGGUGUGGGAUGGGCCCGCGGCCUAUCAGCUUGUUGGUGGGGUGAUGGCCUACCAAGGCAACGACGGGUAGCCGGCCUGAGAGGGUGACCGGCCACACUGGGAAUGAGAUACGGCCCAGACUCCUACGGGAGGCAGCAGUGGGGAAUAUUGCACAAUGGGCGCAAGCCUGAUGCAGCGACGCCGCGUGAGGGAUGACGGCCUUCGGGUUGUAAACCUCUUUCAGCACCGACGAAGCGCAAGUGACGGUAGGUGCAGAAGAAGGACCGGCCAACUACGUGCCAGCCGCCGCCGUAA